GCCUGGGUAGCUCCGUUGGUUAGAGCAUGGUGCUGAUAACACCAAAGUUUCAGAUUCGAUCCCUGCAUUGCAAGCG